CUACCAGACACUCAUACUCUCUGUACUACAUUUUAUUAGUACAGAGAGUCUGGACCUACUCAAUUGACAAACGUUAGCUCACUUGAAGGCGGGUGUCUGAAGUUUAAAACGAUUGGAUUUGCCCAGUGCCACUCUGGAUCUGCCAUAAACAAUCGCUAACGUUUGGCCGGGAAUCACGUUGCGCGCAGGCUGUAAACAAAACGAUCACCGUGGGUGAAGAUGUCCGUCAACGAGAGCUGACUCUAACGUCAUUGUUCUCAGCCACUCCCUCUGUUCGCUGAUUGGACGCAGACAAUUUAGACUGAGAAAACCCACUAACAUACCGCAGACCCAGACCUGGUACUGAAGGGAAAUGCAAAUUGAGCGGAAAGUACUUAGGCGGGCGGAGCCAGAGAUGAGCUGGUAAGCAGUAGCAGGAUCUUCCAUGGAAGGAAAGAAGUCGACUAUACCUUAUUCGUCGGGAUUUGCGGAAGUGGGCAGCGUUGUUUGAUACGAAGACGACCAGUUGUUGGGUGUAAAGCCAAAUAAUGACGAGAUGAACCCUUUUUCUGGACUAUUUUCAACCAGUGGAAUUUUUUUCUUUUGCGGACAUUUUGCACAAUUGCCAUUUUUGGGAAAUACCGAUUGAAAAGUGGACUCUGAAGUUGCCGGAUUUUUCCGAAAGAUGCUGUAUUUUAUCGUUUAAAUGUUUUCAUUUGAAUAAACUAUUCUAAUUGUAUUUUUUCCUUGACUGGUUUAUUAGCGGUUUAGGUUUUGACUUAAAAGUACCAAACUUCAAACUUAUUUUUCACUGAAAACAAUUAAAUUAUAUUUCACUUACUGCAAUUGUCAGUAAAAGUGGGGACCUGGCAUUACAACGUAAUACUGAAGUUGCUAACAAGGAGUGUUAUGUAAUUGACAGUGCUAUGGCAAUAUUUAAUCAAUGCCUAACGUUUCACAACAUGAAUAGAAUCAAAACUCAAUUGUGUAGUUUGUAAUGGUCACACUCGUUUGUUCAAAUGACCUGAAAUGGUUUCCACGGGCUCUAUAAAAUGGCUCCUUGUGUACUGCUUCCUGUUUCAACAGGAAAUGAUGAAAACACUACACAAUUUACCUUUAAAAUGUUCUUUGAACCCUCAACGAUCGUAUUAUUUUAUAGGGGACUAUUAGUCA
ensembl:lncRNA